rnacentral:rRNA from 1 species
AGGACGAACGCUGGCGGCGUGCCUAAUACAUGCAAGUCGAACGGUCUUUCUAUGGAAGCUUGCUUCCACGUGAGAAGAUAGCGGCGAACGGGUGAGUAACACGUGGGUAACCUGCCCGAUAAGAGGGGGAUAACAUCCGGAAACGGGUGCUAAUACCGCAUAGUUUUCUUGAUCGCAUGAUCGGGAAAGGAAAGACGGCCUUUGUGCUGUCGCUUAUGGAUGGACCCGCGGCGUAUUAGUUAGUUGGUGAGGUAACGGCUCACCAAGACGAUGAUACGUAGCCGACCUGAGAGGGUGAUCGGCCACAUUGGGACUGAGACACGGCCCAAACUCCUACGGGAGGCAGGCAGUAGGGAAUCUUCCGGCAAUGGACGAAAGUCUGACGGAGCAACGCCGCGUGAGUGAAGAAAAGGGUUUUCGGAUCGUAAAACUCUGUUGUCAGAGAAAGAACAAGUUGGAGAGUAACUGCUCCAGCCUUGACGGUAUCUGACCAGAAAGCCACGGCUAACUACGUGCCAGCAGCCGC